rnacentral:rRNA from 1 species
GAUUAAGUUAUUAAGGGCGCACGGUGGAUGCCUUGGCACUAGAAGCCGAUGAAGGACGUUACUAACGACGAUAUGCUUUGGGGAGCUGUAAGUAAGCUUUGAUCCAGAGAUUUCCGAAUGGGGAAACCCAGCAUGAGUUAUGUCAUGUUAUCGAUAUGUGAAUACAUAGCAUAUCAGAAGGCACACCCGGAGAACUGAAACAUCUUAGUACCCGGAGGAAGAGAAAGAAAAUUCGAUUCCCUUAGUAGCGGCGAGCGAAACGGGAAGAGCCCAAACCAACAAGCUUGCUUGUUGGGGUUGUAGGACACUCUAUACGGAGUUACAAAGGACGACAUUAGACGAAUCAUCUGGAAAGAUGAAUCAAAGAAGGUAAUAAUCCUGUAGUCGAAAAUGUUGUCUCUCUUGAGUGGAUCCUGAGUACGACGGAGCACGUGAAAUUCCGUCGGAAUCUGGGAGGACCAUCUCCUAAGGCUAAAUACUCUCUAGUGACCGAUAGUGAACCAGUACCGUGAGGGAAAGGUGAAAAGCACCCCGGAAGGGGAGUGAAAUAGAACCUGAAACCGUGUGCUUACAAGUAGUCAGAGCCCGUUAAUGGGUGAUGGCGUGCCUUUUGUAGAAUGAACCGGCGAGUUACGAUUUGAUGCAAGGUUAAGCAGUAAAUGUGGAGCCGUAGCGAAAGCGAGUCUGAAUAGGGCGUUUAGUAUUUGGUCGUAGACCCGAAACCAGGUGAUCUACCCUUGGUCAGGUUGAAGUUCAGGUAACACUGAAUGGAGGACCGAACCGACUUACGUUGAAAAGUGAGCGGAUGAACUGAGGGUAGCGGAGAAAUUCCAAUCGAACCUGGAGAUAGCUGGUUCUCUCCGAAAUAGCUUUAGGGCUAGCCUCAAGUGAUGAUUAUUGGAGGUAGAGCACUGUUUGGACGAGGGGCCCCUCUCGGGUUACCGAAUUCAGACAAACUCCGAAUGCCAAUUAAUUUAACUUGGGAGUCAGAACAUGGGUGAUAAGGUCCGUGUUCGAAAGGGAAACAGCCCAGACCACCAGCUAAGGUCCCAAAAUAUAUGUUAAGUGGAAAAGGAUGUGGCGUUGCCCAGACAACUAGGAUGUUGGCUUAGAAGCAGCCAUCAUUUAAAAGAGUGCGUAAUAGCUCACUAGUCGAGUGACACUGCGCCGAAAAUGUACCGGGGCUAAACAUAUUACCGAAGCUGUGGAUUGUCCUUUGGACAAUGGUAGGAGAGCGUUCUAAGGGCGUUGAAGCAUGAUCGUAAGGACAUGUGGAGCGCUUAGAAGUGAGAAUGCCGGUGUGAGUAGCGAAAGACGGGUGAGAAUCCCGUCCACCGAUUGACUAAGGUUUCCAGAGGAAGGCUCGUCCGCUCUGGGUUAGUCGGGUCCUAAGCUGAGGCCGACAGGCGUAGGCGAUGGAUAACAGGUUGAUAUUCCUGUACCACCUAUAAUCGUUUUAAUCGAUGGGGGGACGCAGUAGGAUAGGCGAAGCGUGCGAUUGGAUUGCACGUCUAAGCAGUAAGGCUGAGUAUUAGGCAAAUCCGGUACUCGUUAAGGCUGAGCUGUGAUGGGGAGAAGACAUUGUGUCUUCGAGUCGUUGAUUUCACACUGCCGAGAAAAGCCUCUAGAUAGAAAAUAGGUGCCCGUACCGCAAACCGACACAGGUAGUCAAGAUGAGAAUUCUAAGGUGAGCGAGCGAACUCUCGUUAAGGAACUCGGCAAAAUGACCCCGUAACUUCGGGAGAAGGGGUGCUCUUUAGGGUUAACGCCCAGAAGAGCCGCAGUGAAUAGGCCCAAGCGACUGUUUAUCAAAAACACAGGUCUCUGCUAAACCGUAAGGUGAUGUAUAGGGGCUGACGCCUGCCCGGUGCUGGAAGGUUAAGAGGAGUGGUUAGCUUCUGCGAAGCUACGAAUCGAAGCCCCAGUAAACGGCGGCCGUAACUAUAACGGUCCUAAGGUAGCGAAAUUCCUUGUCGGGUAAGUUCCGACCCGCACGAAAGGCGUAACGAUUUGGGCACUGUCUCAACGAGAGACUCGGUGAAAUCAUAGUACCUGUGAAGAUGCAGGUUACCCGCGACAGGACGGAAAGACCCCGUGGAGCUUUACUGUAGCCUGAUAUUGAAAUUCGGCACAGCUUGUACAGGAUAGGUAGGAGCCUUUGAAACGUGAGCGCUAGCUUACGUGGAGGCGCUGGUGGGAUACUACCCUAGCUGUGUUGGCUUUCUAACCCGCACCACUUAUCGUGGUGGGAGACAGUGUCAGGCGGGCAGUUUGACUGGGGCGGUCGCCUCCUAAAAGGUAACGGAGGCGCUCAAAGGUUCCCUCAGAAUGGUUGGAAAUCAUUCAUAGAGUGUAAAGGCAUAAGGGAGCUUGACUGCGAGACCUACAAGUCGAGCAGGGUCGAAAGACGGACUUAGUGAUCCGGUGGUUCCGCAUGGAAGGGCCAUCGCUCAACGGAUAAAAGCUACCCCGGGGAUAACAGGCUUAUCUCCCCCAAGAGUUCACAUCGACGGGGAGGUUUGGCACCUCGAUGUCGGCUCAUCGCAUCCUGGGGCUGUAGUCGGUCCCAAGGGUUGGGCUGUUCGCCCAUUAAAGCGGUACGCGAGCUGGGUUCAGAACGUCGUGAGACAGUUCGGUCCCUAUCCGUCGUGGGCGUAGGAAAUUUGAGAGGAGCUGUCCUUAGUACGAGAGGACCGGGAUGGACAUACCUCUGGUGUACCAGUUGUCGUGCCAACGGCAUAGCUGGGUAGCUAUGUGUGGACGGGAUAAGUGCUGAAAGCAUCUAAGCAUGAAGCCCCCCUCAAGAUGAGAUUUCCCAACUUCGGUUAUAAGAUC